rnacentral:tRNA from 1 species
GUUCCCGUAGCUCAAUGGUAGAGCCGUGACGUUUCCUCUUCUUUCGGCUUCGAAGUCUUUCCGUCAUGUUUGCGCAGGUUCGAUUCCUGCCGGGGACC